AGGCUUUGAGUUUUAAAUCACACACGGCCUGAAGGAGUGGCACACGAGUGUGUGACACGGCUGUGUAGCCCAACACGAGCCUAAACAUGAUUGUGCCCAUUUAAAACCCUAAUUUUUCCUUUUCUUUUUGUUUUGUAUUCUUCCUCCCUCACUUCUUUCCCCUAGCCACGACUCUGCCUUUACCCACUUCGACCCCCCAUUCUGGCCACAAUCGUCCUUGCCCCUUUUUUCUCUCACUCCCAUCCGCACCUCCCAGCGUCGCCCAAAUCCUUCCUUUUCUCAUCCUAACCGCUCCUUUCUCCUUCCCUCUCCCUCGCAAUUCCCCCUUUCCCCAUUUCCCCUAAUUUUCUUUUUUCCCUUCCCCAGCCACUCCUAACUGAAACCCCCUCUCCCAUCCCUCUCAUCGCAUCAUUCCCUCUCCAUUAUCCACCACUUGUCUUCCCCCCUUUCCCUUUCUUUCACGCGCGAACUCCCUUUUCCCCUGUCCCUCCCUUAUCACCCUACCAACUCAAAACUCUAUCGUCGCCGUCCCUAACCACCGCGCAAACACCCCCUCGUUGGCCCACCUUUGACCACAACAACGCACUACCCCGUCGACCACCACCAACGUUUGCCACCAUCGCCUAUUGGUUCCCCACUAUCUAUUCUUUUUCCUUUUGUUAUUAUUAUUAUUUUAUUUUCAUUUUUAUUUAUU
rnacentral:lncRNA from 1 species